UUGGGUUCUGUAGGCGUCCAGAACUAAUCUCCCGUGCAACUGCCUUUUACAGCUGUGAUGCACAAGCAAAUUGAUAUUCUGAAGGAAUUUUAAGAUAAUACAGACUAAAGUGAAAUGAGACCAAAAUGAAAUGAGAUUUAAAAAAAAAAAAUCUAAAUUUGACCUUCACUCUGAAAAGUAAUACCGCUCUUCAAUCAUCAUUGUUAUUAUGGCGCCUUCAUGCAGUUAAAAUAUCUGGAUGAAAAAAAACCAUGAUUCAGAUUCUCAAUGGCACACUGCACUUCAGUCCAAUUGAAGGCAUCUGGACACGGAAAGACGAUACCAUAAAGUUUUUCAACUGAAAUUAGGGGUGAGGAGCUCAGUGUUCCUGAAUCUCUCCUGAGACAACAAGAAGGGUGUUUCAAGUCUCUCCUUCCUGUGAGUGUGAGACCAACAAAGCGUCUCAACAUUCUCAAGAUGCAUUUGUGACUUCACCUUAUCUCACCUGAGAAAGAAACCCAGUGGAGGAAAAGGGAGAAAUGGAAGUU